rnacentral:rRNA from 1 species
AGAAUCAACGCUGGCGGCGUGCCUAACACAUGCAAGUCGCACGAGAAAGGGUAGCAAUACCUGAGUAAAGUGGCGCACGGGUGAGUAACACGUGAAUUAUCUACCUCCGAGUGGGGAAUAACUGAGAGAAAUCUUAGCUAAUACCGCAUAACACUUACGAGUCAAAGCAGCAAUGCGCUUGGAGAGGAGUUCGCGGCAGAUUAGUUAGUUGGCGGGGUAAUGGCCCACCAAGACGAUGAUCUGUAUCCGGCCUGAGAGGGCGCACGGACACACUGGAACUGAAACACGGUCCAGACUCCUACGGGAGGCAGCAGUGGGGAAUUUUGCGCAAUGGGGGAAACCCUGACGCAGCAACGCCGCGUGGAGGAUGAAAUAUCUUGGUAUGUAAACUCCUUUCGAUGGGGAAGAUUAUGACGGUACCCAUAGAAGAAGCCCCGGCUAACUUCGUGCCAGCAGCCGCGGUAA